rnacentral:rRNA from 1 species
UGGGGAAUUUUGCACAAUGGGCGAAAGCCUGAUGCAGCAACGCCGCGUGAGUGAAGAAGGCCCUUGGGUCGUAAAGCUCUUUCGGCUGGGGAGAAGGCUAUUAAGGUGAACAAUCUUAGUAGCUGACGGUACCAGAAUAAGAAGCACCGGCUAACUCCGUGCCAGCAGCCGCGGUAAUACGGAGGGUGCGAGCGUUGUUCGGAAUUACUGGGCGUAAAGCGCACGUAGGCGGGUUUUUAAGUCGAUUGUGAAAGCCCAGGGCUCAACCUUGGAAUUGCAGUCGAAACUGGAAGUCUUGAAUACCUGAGGGGAUAGUGGAAUUCCCGGUGUAGAAGUGAAAUUCGUAGAUAUCGGGAGGAACACCAGUGGCGAAGGCGGCUAUCUGGCAGUGUAUUGACGC